GAUGAACGCUGGCGGCGUGCCUAAUACAUGCAAGUCGAGCGAACAGAUGAGAAGCUUGCUUCUCUGAUGUUAGCGGCGGACGGGUGAGUAACACUUGGGUAACCUACCUAUAAGACUAGGAUAACUCCGGGAAACCGGGGCUAAUACCGGAUAAUAUUUUGAACCGCAUGGUUCGAUAGUGAAAGACGGUUUCGGCUGUCACUUAUAGAUGGACCCGCGCCGUAUUAGCUAGUUGGUAAGGUAACGGCUUACCAAGGCGACGAUACGUAGCCGACCUGAGAGGGUGAUCGGCCACACUGGAACUGAGACACGGUCCAGACUCCUACGGGAGGCAGCAGUAGGGAAUCUUCCGCAAUGGGCGAAAGCCUGACGGAGCAACGCCGCGUGAGUGAUGAAGGUCUUCGGAUCGUAAAACUCUGUUGUUAGGGAAGAACAAAUUUGUUAGUAACUGAACAAGUCUUGACGGUACCUAACCAGAAAGCCACGGCUAACUACGUGCCAGCCGCCGCCGUAA
rnacentral:rRNA from 1 species